rnacentral:lncRNA from 1 species
UUAAAAGCCAAAUGUCGCUCGAGACAACUUCAGUACCUCAGGAGCUAUAUUGUGUCUCAGGUACUAGUACUACUUUGGUGUGUGACCAAUAUGCUUAUUAUUACAUCUAUAUUUGUUCUAUUGUGUCUUAGGUACUACUUUGGUGUGUGACUGAUAUGCUUAUUACAUCUAUAUUUGUCUUAAUUUUUGAAAUAGGAGUUCCAUUGCACACCUGCAUCAUAUCUUUUUCUAUCUACGCGAAAGUAUAACCUAUUGAUAAAGUUCCACAUCUCUGUCUAUGGCUAUGUCCGGAUCAAAUUGGAUCUUGCAUCCAUACUUUGGAAGCACGUGCAAUGAGAAUGAAUUACAACUAUUUCCUAGUAUCUUGGUUUGAAGCCUAAGAUUUUUAUCUGUUAAUAGUUUCAAAUGAUUUAGUUCAAGAAAACAUAGCGUCUUAGCGAUGAAUGGAAGAGCCAGAAGGAUUUAAGCAACGUUCUAAAUGGUGGCGUCAAAGCGCACCUAGGCGUCAUGCUUGGCCAAAGCCCCAAGCCAAGUGGCUUGGCAUCUUAUUUGGCGAUCAAUGAGGCGCACCUACACUCACAUUAUCACCCUUUUCUUAAUUUUUUCUUUAAAUUUUUUGUUGUUAAAAAAUUAUCAAUGGCUAAUUUCUUCACUUUGCCCUAAUUUAAAACAACCACUUGUAUCGGAAGACACAGAGAACGAAUUAGACGAAGAAGGAGAUAUUGAAUUGGAGUUCGAUAAAAAGUUAGAUAAGAUUUAAAUUCCUAUACUAUUUAUUUAUUAUUUUGUAUUUGUUCGAGUCCUUCCAGAGCCAUUGAGUUGAUUAUCCUGCUGUAAACUUUAGGGUCCCAUGGGAUUAGUCAAGGUGUGCGUAAGUUGGUCCGGACACCCACGAUCAUAAAAAAAAAAAAGAAAUUUACUAUUUGGUAUUAAAGUUUGAAACUUAUCUUUUUGUUGGAAACUUUGAAAAAAUAUAUAACGAUCCUAUAAAUCUGUUUUAAAUGUUUCAUAAGUAUUAUUUUUAAUUAUUAAAUAAUUUUUUGAUUUAUUAAAAAUUAAAAUAAUAUUAAAAUAAGAAAACACAUUUUUACGUUUUUUUAUGUCUAAACCUCGUCUAAACUCGCAUAGUCUAUAGCUUAGCCUCCGUGUAUUACGCAUUUUAAAACACUGGAUUUAAGUUAACAAGUCCGUAUUGAUAUAAAAUACGCUGUAGUUUCAAUUGUUGUGUGAAAUAAGCUUAUGAUAGCCAUUUGGGGGUGGGGGACCGGAGGGUUUCUAGGUCCAAUUGAGGGGUCAGAUCGAUUAAGAUUCUCAUUCUAAGCCCCCCACCUCACAAUUGAUAGAUUACUAUUUGGACAGAAAGGCCUUCUUUUUCUUCUUCUUCUUUUUUUCUUUCUUUUUUUUUCAUAUUUUUUGUGAAAUUAAAAAUUAAAUUUUAGGGCUGGACAUUGUUUGGUUCGAUUUGGUUCUAACGAGAAUUUAAUCGGACUUGAAAUUUUCGAAUAUUUAGUAAGUAAAAUCACUGGGUCCAAAUUUAAUUAUGGAAUCAUUCGAGUUCCGUUCCAUUCGAUUUUUAAGUUUUGUACUAUAAUUAAUUUUUUUAAUAUUUAAAAAGUUACAUUAAUUCAACUAAUGAUAUGUUCAAUCUUAACUCUUACAAAGUAACAUAAUCCAAUCUUAUGUCUUUUUUGUCUCUUUUUGCUGAGUUCUUCAUAUUUUUUAUUGUUAAAAUCAUAGAAGGAGAAAAAUAGCGAGCUCACAAUAAUUAAGAGAGGCGUUAUCAAAAUUUAAUUUGAUUUUUUCAGAAUGGUAGAAAUAACAUUACGGUAGAAUAAUAGAUUUGGGUAAAAUUUAGGUUAAUUUAAUUAAGUUGGGCUCAAACUGAAAAUUAGAAAUAAAAAAUUCAUAUUUUUUGAUUUGUGUUAAAUUAACUAGUUAGCAAAUUUAUUUAGAAAAAAAUAAAAUAAUUUGACUUAUUGAAAUAAAUAAAUUAAAAAAAAUUAGAAAUAUUCCGUUCUAAAUCUAGAACCGAGAAUCGAACUUGACCCGUCAGUUCUUGAUUCAGAUACCGAUUCAGGUAUUUAAUUUAAGAAAAAUCACUUGAUUCAGUUCGGUUCUCUUUGAGAGUUUCGUCCAAUCCUACUAAAUUUCAUGAAAUCAAAUCGUCGCAAAAUGUGAAUGACAUAAAGACUGAAAUACAAUCAAUUCAACAAGAAAUGUCAAUAACUAAAGUAACUAAUGAAGCUACAACGUGGAUUGUUUUAUUUCCCUCGGGAGGAAUAGAAGAACAAGAGCUACUACAAUUGACAUAACCUUCAUUUGGAGCACGGUGAAAAUCUAAAUCGAGGUUUUGGACUGUUUCGCGCGGGUUAGUCGCUAACAAUUAAAAAGGGAUCAGACGAUUGUGUAAGGACAAACCUCUUGAGACAAAGUCCCAAAAAGGGGUACUUUUAUUGGCGAUGACUUUACAAUUUGGAAAAUAAAAACAGAAUGCCUCCAAGGGGCGCAAGCACACGAGUUACUGAAAAGAAGUGUUUAAAUCUAAACUAAGAAAUUGAAAGUUACAUAUUCUCUAUUUGAGAGUGUUUGAUUCGGGGCCUUUUGUUCUAUAUCUUUUCUUCCUUUUAUACUCUCUGGAUGAUCUUUUCGUGAUCAACCGUUUAAAAACUGCUUGAUCGCUCUAUAACUGUCCACUUUCCUCGUAGUGGCCAACUUGUCAUGGAAUUGCCUUCUUUAACUGCUGCCAUUACUUUUUGUCGUUCAACCGUCUUCAAUUGAAUUCCUUGAAUCGUGGAACGUGAUAGGACUACCCAAUAACUGCUUCAUUAACUGCACUUUUGGGUAACCAUAACAUCUUAUGUUUGCUAAGAUGCUGGGCGACUCGAAUGUUUGGACGAGAGCAAGGUCACAGCUCUGGGCGACUGCAUGGCAAUUCAUUCGCUCAAAUCUUGGGCGACUUGCAGCCUUAGGCGAUGGUAUUACCACGUUCAUGGGCUUCCCUAUUUGGGCCUUUAUCUUGCAUUGCUUGAUUGGGUCGUUCUUUGGGCUAUUUGAUUUUGGGGAUCUUCCAAUUGGGCUUCAUUCCUUGGGCUAUUCGACUUGGGCUGAACUUUUUGUGUGUCAACAAUUACCCCUCAAUAUGGCAGAAUUAAUACCAAUUAUUAAUUUUUUGCCAUAUUCACUUUGUGUUUCCCAGCAACAUUUGAAAUUCCCAAGAAUUUCAAUCAUUGUUUUCUUCCAUAGCCUGAAAAGGUGCGACGUUUGCAAACCCUUAUAACCUCCAAAUACGCCAUUUCAUUGCACCACUAAAUCACGCCUCAUUUUUUCGCACUUCUCUCUCGCAAUAUUAUUGUUCAUCUCCUUGCUUUUCUGCUACGUAACUCUGAAAAACUCUAUUUCGUCCCUAAUGGCUGCUUCACAAUCCCAGUUUGGUGACUCCUUCAACUUCGAAGACUUUCAGAAACUCCUUACUCGGCCAUAUAUAACUCCGAAAUUCCUUGCACCGGCCAAUGUCGAACUCAAUGAGUUCUAUCUAGGUCAUUUAUUCAACAAUGUCGAGGCCAUCGAACAAGUGGCGGUCGGUCAGCCGUUCCCUUGUACUCAAAGCCCUCUGUUUCUAAAUUCUUUGUCGCUGGGGCCACUUCGUGAAAGAGGUAUUCGCACUUGGCCUAAAUCUGAUGUCGUUUUCCGUAGAUGGCGUGCUCGCCUUGUGGACCAUGGUUCUACUAAGGCAAUUUUUGAUAAUGCUAGGAUUUCUGAUUUGUUAGAAAUCUCUCUUCAACCCCCUAUUUUUGACCCAGCACUUUUUCCAAUAGCUUUAAGUUUUUGGUCUUCUGAGUAUAAUACUUUUGUUUUUCCUCUUGGUCCCAUGUCCAUUACCUUAAGGGAUGUUGGGGCCUUAGUAAAUCUGCCACCUUUGGGCGAUACCAUUUUUCCUGAUAUUUUGAUUUCUGGUGUCGCCCCAAAAUUUGAUAGAGGCCUCACCGAAUCUUAUUCAACCCUGCAAACCCUUCAUAACCACUCGACCGUUGAGCCUUCCCAUGCUGAGCGAGUGGCCUUUCUUCUGAUUUGGCUUUGUAAAUACAUUUUGUGUGUGCCAAGUAUAAAGCCCUCCAUGAGCUAUUUACCCAUAGCGCACGAAUUGGCGCGUGGUAGGCCUCUGAAUUUGUGUUCUUUCUUUUUAGCUACCUUUUAUAGAGGCAUGGCUUCUCUUCAAUCCCAAUUGAAGAAUGGUGCAUUUUCCACUGGCAGUGGGCCUCUUUGGUUUACUCAAAUGUGGUUGAGAGCCUAUUUUCCAUCGCUUGGUGCUCCAUCUUUUUCUAGUCCUUCUGCUAGCUGCUAUGGGCUAGCCAUUGAUCCCCUGACUCCUGUAAAUAUGUCCAGAAGGGACAUUUUUCAUUCUUUUAUACUUUGGAUUCAAUCCCUUCAUUCUUUCCUUUUCGUCCCUUUUUGACUUCAGAUUAUGUGCAACCUCCAUUCACUCUGGAUAGUGCAAACACUUCCUCGUUCGUUUGGAUUCAGUUUUUGAUCGGGAGGGAGUUGUUCCAUGAUAUUUUGACUGGGACCAAUGCCAAAGUUGGGGUAGAAAUAUAUGUUCCUCAAUUUUUUGCUCGCCAACUUGGUUUUGGCCAAACUUGGCCUGUUCCCCCUUGCUAUUUAAGGAAUUUGAUAGACCGCUUUCACACCAUUAAUAAGGCAGAGGCAGAGGCUAUAAAUGCUUGCAAUAUUUUUUGACGAGCAGCUUUUCAUUAGCCCCCUUCAAUCCUAGCCGUGUCAUCCAUCCCCUUUUUGAACGACUCUGGCCGUCAGUGAAGCAUAGAUUGUUUGCGACUGAUGCCAAUCGUGCUUUCCAUUCACUGGACCAGCCAAACAUUUCUUCCACCUCUCCUGUUUUGGUCACUCCUGUGUCCAUUAGGAGUCUCUCUUCCUCUGCUCGUGCUAAACAAUCUGCCCGUCCAUCGACUUCUCUUCCUGCUAAGCCUACUGCAGCUAAAAGUGCCCCAAGCCGCAAAUGGCCAGCCUCAGCGUCUCCCAUUUUGGAGGAUGAUGCUGAUGAUGAUGAUGAUACCCCUCUCAUCGUCAGGAGGAAGGUAAUUAAAUUGGUUUACUCAUAAGCAUACCUUUCCAUACUUGAAACUUUUCUAUGUGUUGAUAGUUUAUUUGGAUUUCUCAGAAAAGUUCAACCUCUCCCUUGAAGGCUUUGGUGUUGGCAGCUCCUGUUCCAUCAUCCUCUGCUGGGGCUGCUUCGUCCAAACCAGCUGAUGAAGGGACUACGCUUAAAGAGAAAUUAUCAGUCCCAGAAUCUUCAUCACAACCAAUGGACGAGUCACCUUCUUCCCAGGGCGUUGACCCUCCAAACGUCGAAGCAGAAGGUAAUUCAUUUUUUGAUGCUUUACCUUUGCUUGUGCUAUUGAUUUUGAUUUGUUGCCUUUUGAGUUCUGCAGAUGCUCCCAUGAGUCUGCCCGUUGCGGCAAGGUCUUCUCGCUUAAACAAGCAGAUUUGGCUGGGGAUAUGCCACCUUCCAAGAUUGCUGAUGAGGUAAUCUUUGCUUCACCUUUACCUCCACUUUGUUUAGUAUAGUGGAAACCUUCAAUAUUGGCGAUUUUCUUUGCAGGAUACUGAUAAAAUUGUGCGUUCCAUUCAAGACUUGUUCACUUUCUGGGGGCAAGUCAAGACAUCUCGCCCUACUUCAACCAGUUAUCCUUCUGCUUCUUCAAAGGAAGAUAUGAAGUUCCUCAAGCAGUCGAUAUUUGAGUAUGUGUCCUUCAUGGAUAUGGACAUCGGUAAGGCUAGUGCUGCCAAGCAUAAGGAUAAGUUUGAGCAUUUGAAUGCAAAAUUGGAGUAAGCAUUGACACUUUCGUCGCUUAAUCUUUCUGUUGAUUUUAAAGCGACGUUGAAAGUUGUCCAUUCCGAGGUCCUUUCCUUGCUGGCCAAGAAUGUUGAACUGAAGGCCAAAAGUACUUAAUAUCUUCGUGCCAUAUCUGAAAAAGAGUCUUUACUUCUGGAGAUCAACAAAGCUGAGGAUGAGUUGAAAGAAAUUUUUACCGAAGUCAUGAUUGAAAACUCUUUGAUAACUAGUUUGGCUGCUCAGAUGAAGGAGCUUCAAGCCAAGAUGGACGACUGCAAAGCGAGAAUGGUUGCUAAAAAGCGUAAUGCCUCCCAAGGAAUUGAGCGAACUAAGUUUUUGGUCAAGCAGUACAAGAAGUUGGAAGUUGAUGAUAAUGUUGUAGCUGAAUUGAAUAUCACUUCUUCUAGGCAAAGCGAGGACUGGAGGAGACUUAGGGAAAGAAUUCGUUUGAUAUGGGACGAAUUGUAAUUAAGACAUAUAAUGCCUUAACUUUUUCUCUUUGUAAUUUCGUAUUGAAUUUCUCUUUGUAAUCUUGUACUGAUAUAACAGCAAUCAUCAUUGUUAAUGAAUAACUAUUUUAGUCUCUUAUGUAUUUAUUGACAUUCGUCUUUCAAUCAUCAAUCGCUCAGGCAUUUAACUGCUUUAUGCUAAAAUUUUUGCACAUUUUCUCUUGAUAUUUCUUCCCGACUUCGACUUUGGGCCACUUAAUUCCCAUUUACUAGACACGAAUAUGGCUGCUCAUAUUCUAUCUUUUCACCUUCACCCCCUAUAAAUGCACAUCAUAUCCUGUCUUUUUACCUUCACCUCCUUAUAAAUGCACGUAUACUUCAUACUUUCCAUCUUCAUUUCCAUUUUCUUCUUCAAAAAACCAAUUUGCUGCCAUUACUUGGCAUUUUUGACAAUCAAUCCAAAACUUUCAUUUUCCGUGGAAAUGGAUAAUCUGAUUCGCCCACUUUGCCAUCUUUCUUGAUGUCACCUUUGGUAUGGGAGAUAUAGGAAAUAUUAUUUGGCCAGCAGCAAAGUUCUUCCCAUCGUCUCCGUUCUUACAAGGAGUUCAAUGAUAGAAGACAAUUUUUGGGGUGCUUGCAUGCCACCUUGCUUUCUGAGAGUGCUUCUCAGCCUCCUUGCUCGUCGUUGCAGCGAUGCAUUUAGGAAGGCGAAGUGAGGGCGCUUCAUCUUCCUUUCUGCUUGCUGAGAGUGCUUCUCGACCUCUCUGCUUGCCUUUGCAGCAGUGCGAUCAGGAUGGCAAUCAAGGCCAGUACACCCUCUUACUCGGCAAUCGACCGGGAGAUUAGUUUGCUCCUAAUCGUAGUUUAUAGAGCAUUUAGCAUCUUGUAUUUCGCAGCUUUGUAAUGAACAUUUGAUAAUAAAGGAAUUUAUUUGAACGUAUUUCGCUCUGACCCUUUUUACUUUACGAUCGUUCAAUGCGAUUUUGUUACGCUUUUAUUUGUUCACUUUCCCAUAAGGAAGGAACAUACUUUUUCAAAUAUUUGCCAUUAAUGAACCUUAUGUGCUUGGUGCCGUCUAAAUCUUCCAAAUGAUAGGCUCCAUAAGGCAAUACAUUAUUCACUUUAUAUGGUCCUUCCCAAUUGAGAGACCAUUUGUCAUACUUUGGAUCUUUGCUAUCCAAAGGGAGUACUGUUUUCCAAACCAGUUUAUCCAGGCUGAACGACUUGGCUAUAACUUUUUUAUUAUAAAAUUUAGUCAUUCUUCGUUUUUGAACUUGCAAUCUAUCUAGGACGUUUAACUUUAAUUCGUCCAACUCUAAUAAGUUUUGAACUAGUGAUUUGGUAUACUCAUCAUCACUUAACUUAUGUUGCAAACACACUCUGAUCGAUUGUACGUUGAUUUCCGUAGGCAAAACGGCCUCCUGUCCAUAAGUAAGUUGGAAAUGAGUAAUUUUGGUACUUGACUGACGCGACGUCCUAUAAGCCCAUAAGGCUUUGUUUAGACAUUCGUGCCAAUUUCUGGCAUUUUCAUCUAUCAUUUUCCUUAUGAUAUUUUUUAAAAUCUUAUUAGAAGAUUCUGCUUACCCAUUGGAUUGAGCGUAAGAUGGUGUGGAGUUUACUAAUUUAACUCCAAAUUCGCUCAAAAAUUUAUUCACUUGAUCCUCAUUUAAAGAUGUCCCGUGAUCUACCAUCAAAGUUUGUGAAAUACCAAAUCUAUAAAUGAUGUGAUCACGGAUAAAUUCUAUGACAUUCUUCUGGGUGAUUUCCUUUAAAGGUACCGCCUCUACCCAUUUAGUGAAAUAAUCGGUUGCAACUAUAACAAAAGUAUGUUGCUUGGACGAUGGGGGAUAAAUCUUCACUAUCAGGUCUAUCGCCCAACCCUUGAACGGCCAAUAUUUAAUAAUAGGUGUCAUCUCUCGUGCUGACGCCCUUUGUAUUGGACCAUGCUUUUUGCAUGCUAAACAACUCUUUGCAUACUGAACGUAUAAUUCUCCCAUCUUUGGCAAAAAUAUCCACUUCUAGUAAUUAACCAUCUCAUCCUUUGACCAGCUUGAUGAGCUCCACAUAUCCCUUCGUGUACUUCAGUCACGAUCAUCUUGGCUUCUUGCAAAUUUACACACUUUAGCAAUAUACCAUCAGAACGUUUCUUAAACAACUCUCCAUUUAUUAGUGUAUAGUUUAGCAAACGCAGCUUCCAUUUUCUACUAUCUCUUUUAUCAGGUUCUUUAAGGAAUUCCUUAAUCUCUGUCCUCCAAUCCAUUGCAUCUCUAUCUUAUAUGCAAUGAAGUUCAAUCAUUCUCGUCCUUCUUUGGAUCACGGGCAAAAUUGUUCCAUACUCACAAGUAGACUUUCAAUUUAAAAUCUUUGAGAACCCUGAGGCCAUCUGGGCCAACUCAUUUGCCACGUCAUUGUAUAUCCUAUUAACGCAUUGAAGUUCUACUUGGUCGAAUUUUUCUAAUAACUCUUGGGCGAUUUCAUAUUGACUCAUGAUGGAAUCACUUUGGCAUUUAAAAUCACCAAUCAGUUGGUGAAUUACCAAUUGAGAAUCGCUUCUAAUGAUUACAUUUUUUACCCCCAUAGCUAUCAUUAGUUCUAGGCUCACGGUUAAGGCUUCAUAUUCUGCGUGAUUGUUGGUGCACAUCCUAUUCAAAGUGAAUGCGAACUUGUAGCAUAUCCUUAAAGGAUUUAUCAAUGCUACUCUUACUCCUACACCUUUAGAGGUUUUUGACCCAUCGAAAUACAACACCCAAGGUUUUAGUUCGAACGAAUUGAUUUCUAAUUCAAUUUCUUCAGGCAUGUCAAGGCAUGGAUGAUCGGCUAGAAAAUUAGCCAAAGACUGAUUUUUGACUGCCUUUUGGGGUAUGUAUUGUAUUUCGAAUUCUGAUAAAACUAACGUCCAAAAGCCUACCCUUUGGUGUAAAAUAGGGCGAGAGAACAUGUACUUAAUCAAAUUUAUUUUAGAAAUCAAAUAAACGGUUACGGGCCGUAAAUAAACCCUUAACUUUGUACAUGUGAAAUACAAUGCAAGACAUAAUUUUUCGAUAGCAAAAUAAUUACAUUCACAUUUUGUUAACCGUCUACUCAAGCAGUAGAUCGCCCUCUCUACACCAAAUUGGUCUUCUUGCGCAACCAUUCCAGCUAUUGAUUCUUUUUCAGCCGAUACAUACACUUUCAUUGGCCGUCCUUGGAUUGGUGACACCAACACUGGUGGACUUGAUAAAUAUGUCUUCAUGCUUUCAAAAGCCUUUUGAUGUUCUUCUUUUCAGACGAAUUCGUCCUGAUUUUUUAGCUUUAAAAGCGGCGAAAAGACUUUAGUUCGCCCUGCACAAUUAGAAAUAAAGCGUCUUAAAAAGUUUACUUGGCCUAGAAACCUUUGCAAUUCUUUUUGUUGCUAGGUGGUUUGGCCUCUAAAAUGGCAUUCGCUUUAUUUUUAUCAAGUUCAAUCCCUCUUUUGUGUACCAAGAAAUCAAGAAAGUUUUCUGCAUUAACACCAAACGCACAUUUCAAGGGAUUCAACUUUAGCUUAUAUUGCUUCAUUCGUUCAAAUGAACAUCUUAACUGUUCGAAAUGGUCCUCUUCUUUAAUGGAUUUGACCACUAUAUCAUCUACAUACACUUCAACAAACUUGCCUAUCAUAUCAUGAAAAAUUCAAUUCAUUGCCCUUUGAUAAGUUGCUCUUGCAUUUUUCAGGCCGAAAGGCAUGACUACCCAUUCAAAACAUCCUAAAGACUCAGGGCAUCCAAAGGCAGUUUUGUGUAUGUCUUCCUCAAUUAUAUAAAUUUGAUUGUAUCCUGAAUACCCAUCCAUGAAAGAAUACAUGAUGUGUCCGGCAGUUGAGUCUACUAAAGAAUCUACCGUGGGCAUUGGAUACUCAUCUUUGGGUGUGGCUAUGUUUAAAUUCCUAAAAUCUAUGCACACCCUUAAUUUACCAUUCUUUUUUAGUACUGGCACGAUAUUGGACAACCAUUCGAUAUACCUGGCUAUUCUAAUAAAGUCUGCUUUUAAUAAUCGCUCUAUCUCUUUCUUAAUCUCAGGGAGUACAUUAGGAGCAAAACGUCUGGGAGGUUGCCUAUGAGGUUUGAAAUUAGGCUUAGUUGGUAAUCUAUGUUUCACCAAGUCUCUAUCUAAACUAAGCAUUUGUUCAUAUUCCUAAACAAAACAAUCUUUAUACUCUUUUAACAAAGCGAUUAAUUUAUCACUAACCUCUUGAUUGAGCAUCUGGCUGAUGAAUGUUGGACGAUCUUCUCCUUCAUUGCCAAUAUUUACUUUAAUCAGAGGGUCUUGUGCUUGAGCGUAUCCAAGCUUGAUGAUCCGCAUUACUUCAUCAUCUAGCUCCCUUGUAAGCACUUCUUCUUCUAAACAAUCUACCUUGUUGACUUCUCGGCCAAUACUUUGUUCCAAUUCGAAUACUGCUAAUUUGUCUUUCAACGCUUUCAGGGCUGCCUCUUCUUUCGCCCUGUCCUUGCAUUCUUUAUUGAAAGCCAUUAAUUUGACUUUGAAGGUCUGAAUAUCGGCCAUUUGCUUUUGUUGCUUAGAACUCAUUCAAGACUCCUUGAUUAUUCUUUUGCCAAUUACUGGCUCUUCUAGGGCCAUUAUAUUUGGCCUCAUCUGACUGAACAUUUCAAUGAGUGCGUCCACUGAAAAUGUCUCUUCGCUCUGCGCGACAAUUUGAGCUUCUUCCCCAUCUUGUACUACCUUGACAGGUCCAUAAUUUCCUUCGUACAUGAACUUUUCCACUGAGUUUGCUUCUGCGACAAAAUGCCUAUGAUCGACCUUCACCACCUCUGCUUCACCCUUGUUAUUCCAAAAGACCAGGCAUUGAUGGAGCGAUGAGGGUAUACAGCGAUUUUCGUGUAUCCAAUCUCUUCCUAAUAACACAUUGUAACUAGUAGGACUAUCUAUUACAAAGAAGACUGUGGUCUUAGUAGUUGUCCCUAUAGUUAUGUCCAAUGGCAUAACUCCCUUAGCUGCAGUUGCUCCUCCAUUGAAACUUGUAAGGAUGACUUCCGUUGGAAUCAUAUCCCCUUCUAUUUUUGCAAAUUUCCUCAUCAUCCCAGAUGGAAUAGUGUUUAUAGCUGCUCCAUUAUCGACAAGUACUUUUGCCACAGGUAUGCCGUUAACUAGAGUUUUAACGUACAAUGGCCUCAAGUAUUUAGUCAAUUUCAUGGCUGGCCGCUUAAAAAUAACCUUUUCGGCAGCCUCUAUUUCUACUUCCUGCUUGUCCUCUGUCGAUUUACCUUUUUGCGAUAAGUCAACGUGCAGCAUAUCGCACUGAGCAUCUGUCUCCUGAAUUUCCUUUUUACUGUUUUCUAAUGCUUCGUCUUCAGUUACCCAAUCUGUGGGAAAAGGCAUUAUUCUUGGAGGCGAUCCAUACUUUUCAGAGUGAGGCACUCUCUUCUUCCUCUUGGGUGUCCCGCACAGCACGUAAAAUUCGAAAGAACGCUCAGAUGGUUCUCCCAAUAAGUCUACUUCACGAACUCCCUCUCGAUGUAGUUGCUUCAACAGAGUAUUGUGCGAUACUCCUCUUCUUCUCCUUUCUGCUUCCAGAUCGAUUUCCUCUUCAAUGUUUGUCAUACCAUCAUCUUCCUCACCAUUGUAGGCCUCUCUAGAAGCCUGACCUUCUUCAUAUUCCAGCAUGCAUGCUUCUCCUCCGUUAUCCUCUCUUUCUUCUUCUUCUUUUUCUUUAUUCUUGAACUCAUUGGUUAGUAAAUAAUUAUUAGCCACGACAGGAGGUAACGUACCGAACUGAAUAGUAAGGGACUGAUCUGGAUCUUUUCCAUCCCUUCUAUCUCGCUCAAACUUCGAUCUCCCAGAAGAAGUUUCUGGCAACUCUUUCAUUGAUUCAUCUGUACCAGUCUCUUCACUGUCUUUGAGAAUAUUUUGAUUGGCUACCUCGAGUAGUUUAGGCGCCUUAGGACGUGGUAUUCCCUGUUAUUGCCUCAUCAUUCGUCCAUAAUCGUUGCAAACGCCUUUGUUGGGUUCUAGUCAUCUCGUUGAAGGGUAUUGCCUUUCCUGCAUUGUACUGGAACGAAUGCCAUACAUUUGGUUGGAGAGGUUGCGGCCUGAAUGUUCUCCCAUUAUUUACUGGCCUGAAUUGCCUCUCAAAAGACGGUCUCUUAUAGAACGAUGUAUCUCGCCCUCUACUAGGCUGAGCAUUUGGGAAGAAAGUAGGUCGAUAGGGAUGCUGCCAUAUCCCUGGCUUCUCCGUAUUUCCACUCACUUCUCUUUUACGUCUUGAACACAAGACUUCUUCAUCCUUUUUCGGCUCCUUCCCUUUAAUACGCUCAAAAACACUGGGAUGUGGUCCAGGGUCUUCUUCUCCAUCAUCUAUAACCAACUUGAAUUUUGGCAACUUGACGUCACCAUAUUCACUCCAUGUGGCUGUGGAAAAGGAUUUUCAUCCACUGCCAUCUUCUUCUUAUCAUCGAACGUAAUUCGUCCUGAUUCAAUGGCAUCCCGUAACACAUGGCGAAAAACUAAGCAAUUGUUAGUUAAAUGUGACCAGGCAUUAUGCCACUUACAAUAUUUUUUACCCUUAAUUUGUUCAGGAUUUGGGAAUUUAUGCUUAUCGCUCGGCUUUAUCUGCUUAUCCUUAUAUAAUUUAUCAAAUAUAAGGUCAGCUUUGGUUACAUCGAACGAGAAUGUUCUAGCUUUUAUGUUUUCAUCUUUCAUAGGCUCAUCCUUGUCCGAUGGUCUAGGCUUAGCCAUUAUAGGACAAGUAUACGUGUCUCCUUUGACUAAUUCAGCCAAACACAUUUCGGUCUGAUCGUAUGACUCAUUACUGAUGGUAUGAACAUCAAAAUUUGGGUCUCUAUAAUAAGUCCCCUUGCUAGAAUUUUUUAUCUACUCUUCUUCUCUUAUCAAUCGUUCAUACCUAAUCAUGUUCGCAUUCAAUUGGAAGAGGUCAGGAAAUUCCUUAUCUUGGAAUUUCUUUUUUAAAUCAAAGCUCAAACAACCUUGAGCGAUUUUUACAAAUUCUUUUUCGGGCAAAGGUACAAAACAUUUGUUUGUUGCUGUCUUGAACCUUUGGAGGAAACCUUCUGCCCAUUCGUUUGGCAUUUGACGUAGAUUCGUCAAAUCGGCCAACGUAACUUCAGACUCAGUCUUAUAAAACUGAGCGUAGAAUAAUUGUUCCAAUUGUUGCCAUGUUUGAACAGAGUUCGCUGGCAAAUUGAUGAAUCAGGAGAAAGCUACUCCUAUUAAUGAACUAGGGAAAAGCCUCAUUUUAUAAUAAUCAGUUACGUCACCACUUUACAGUGUGAAUCGCCCUAUGUGUUCUAGAGUAGACACCUCCCCUAAGCCGGUAAACAGUGAGAAUUCUGGCACUUUAUACCCUCUAGGCCAUGGAUAUGCUUGGUCUACCCAAUCAGGAUAUGGCUUUGUGUAAGUCGGCCUAAUGAUAGGACGUACUCCAAAAGCCAUCUGGUCUUGUACGAUUUCCAUAAUUUGGUUCCUCGACAUGACGUUGGAGUCAUAUGGAAUUCCUACAAGUUGGUUGACCGGUUGAUUUGCUUGAGUCCUGAUGUUUGGUCCUUGAUUGGCAACAAAGUUACCAUAAUUUAGGCCAUUGUUACCAUUAGCCUGAACAUUUAUUCCCUCGUUAACACGUGGGGUAUUUUGCCCAUUAUUUAGGACAUUAUCUCUUACAUUUAGAUUACCCCCCAAGUUAGGCGUACCACUACCAUUAUUUUGAUUUGGCAUUACACCAUCCCCUUGGUUUGAAGUAAAGGAACCGAAAGGUGGUUCUACCCCUUGACUUGGAUUUAGGACUGGGGGAUUAUGUCCAACAAUUGUCCUAGUUUGAAAGUGGUUUGCAAGAGGCAUAACUGGUUGACAAAUUUGGCCUACUAACUUAUUCAUUAUUUCGUUCAAAGUAUUCAAUUGUUUGGCCAUGUUGUCAUAAUGCACAUUCCCAUUCUGGGUAAAUCUUUCCAUAUUAUGAAUGUUUCGAAGGUUUAUCUAUUCAACGACAUCUUGUGUGAGUUCUCUAAGCAGUGCAUGCAUAGUUCGAGGACUUAACUCUGUCAUUGACUCGUAACGAUUGUUACUGCUCUGAUUCUGUCCAUCUAUUCGUGGAGAGCUAUGCUGCUCCUCAUAUCGCUCGAUCACAGAUUGGACUCCUACUUGACUUGCUGCUUCUUUAUCGGAUCUCUGAGGCAUAUUGUUUCACCUUUUGUAUCUUCAACACCAAACACCACUGUCCCACUGGGCGUGCCAAAUUGUUUCGCGCGGGUUAGUCGCUAACAAUUAAAAAGGAAUCAAACGAUUGUGUAAGGGACAAAUCUCUUGAGACAAAGUCCCAAAAAGGGGUGUUUUUAUUGGCGAUGACUUCACAAUUUGAAAAAUAAAAACAGAAUGCCUCAAAGGGGCGCAAGCACACGAGUUACUGAAAAGAAGUGUUUAAAUCUAAACUAAGAAAUUGAAAGUUACAUAUUCUCUGUUUGAGAGUGUUUGAUUCGGGGCCUUUUGCUCUAUGUCUUUUCUUCCUUUUAUACUCUCUGGAUGAUCUCUUCGUGAUCAACCGCUUAAAAACUGUUUGAUCGUUCUAUAACUGCCUACUUUCCUCGUAGUGGCCAACUUAUCAUGGAACUGCCUUCUCUAACUGCUGCCAUUACAUUUUGUCGUUCAACCGUUUUCAAUUGAAUUCCUUGAAUCGUGGAACGUGAUAGGACUACCCAAUAACUGCUUCAUUAACUGCAUUUUUGGGUAACCAUAACAUCUUAUGUUUGCUAAGAUGCUGGGCGACUCGAAUGUUUGGACGAGAGCAAGGUCACAGCUCUGGGCGACUGCAUGGCAAUUCAUUCGCUCAAAUCUUGGGCGGCUUGCAGCCUUGGACGAUGGUAUUACCGCGUUCAUGGGCUUCCCUAUUUGGGCCUUUAUCUUGCAUUACCUGAUUGGGUCGUUCUUUGGGCUACUUGAUUUUGGGGAUCUUUCAAUUGGGCUUCAUUCCUUGGGCUAUUCGACUUGGGCUGAACUUUUUGUGUGUCAACAUGGACAACACAUAACGAGUCACAUUUAGUCUCCUCAAGCUCGAAACCAUUUUGUUUGGCAAAAAGGAAGCCAUACUAUACCAGCCUCGGCAACUUCCACCUUGAGAUAUCCCAGUCUGAUCCUGAAUAAUGGUCGGUCCCCGUUUGAAAAAACCAUCUACUCAGAAUGAAGCAUCUGUACUCAACUUUAGACGACCAACAGAAAGUGGCUUUUUUCGAACUUCAGAUUGCAAAAGCCCCCAGCCGACUAUCCAAAAUCUGUCACAGAAGUAGUGGUCUUAAUAUUAGGGUAGCAACACCAAUGGUGGUUGUCUCUAAUAGCCAUGAAUAACUAUACUCCGUUCCCCCCAAAUUACUAAGCCAAACACCACAAUAUGAGCUAGUUCAUGUAGCGUGCACGUGCACUGGGUGGAUGUUUCUCACAUCUGCCACACGAACGAAAGGCUUCACAACCUCCCACCAUCCUCCAGUCCUUUGAACUAUCUUUGCAGCUGGGUAACUAAAUAAUACGUCGUGAUGUCUCCAACUAUCCACAAUGGCUACAUCCAGGGGCGGACCCAGACCUCUAGUAUUGUGUGGUCAAAAUUUAAAAAAUAUUUUUUUUAAUAAACAACAUAAUAUCAAUGAAAAUAAGUUUAUAUGUAUUUUGACACUUUGAAAACGUCGUAUAAUUACAUCAUUAUUAAUAUUAUUAAAUAAAUUUUGUUAUUUGUAUAGUUUUGUUUAUCAUUUCAUUGGCAAAUACUGAGCUAAUAUUGAGUAAAUUAAAUUGAAUAUAAAAAUUAAAUGAAUUGAAAUAAAAUUCAAAUUUAGUUCAGGAAGUAAAUGAAUUCAAAUUUAAAGCAAAUAUAAUUCAAAAGUAAUUCAAAUUGCAUUUAAUCCAUAACGACCCUAAAAAAUUUGCGUCAUAUUUCAUGUAAGACUUCCAAAUGAAACGAUAUAAAUUAUAUUGAAAAAUUUAUCGUGCAAAAAUAAUAAUUAAUUGAAUUUUUUAAAAGAAAAAACGAGUUAGACGUCUUUUUUGAGGUAUACGUUUGAUACAUAUUUAACGUUUUUCGAUAUUCAUUUGGACCAUUUGAUAUGAAAACGAUGUAGUUUUCGAAACAAACUUUUACAUAGCAUAGACGAUUUGUGGAUUCAGAUAGCACAUGAUCGCAAACGAAUUUUUAAAGUUAAGAUAUUAUCGAAAUUCUCAAAAUACUAGUUUUGAACACCCUAUUUAACAUGUCAUAACUUUUGUUAUAGUUGACCACUUCAAAUGCCAUGUGGGUCCGCCCCUGGCUACAUCUUUACAUUACAUUUACCAUAGGGUUAUGCAAAUUAAUCAGGAAAGCAAGGCUUCAUGAUAUAAAUUCCACAAGAAAAAUUGGACUUCCGGUGGGAUCAAUAAUUUCCAUAUGUACUAGCCACUUCAACAAAGAGAAGAUAGCUUUGCUCUAUGGAAAAUUCAUUAGUCAUCAGCAAAGAGAAGACAGCUUACAAUAGGGCCUGCUCGUAACGCUUGCAUCCUCACGAUUCUUAAUGAUCGCCUAUAUGUACAUGCAUUAUGCAUAGGUGGCGAGAUGGAUAAGCGAACUCCGAUACCCCAACUUUUGAGGUCCAUCAAAAGGAGUGGGAAGUCAUAAGGAGUGAAACUUAGAGGCUGUUUGGUAGCAAUUUUGACCUACCCAAAAUUAAUUAUUCGAACGUUGCCACCCACUUAUCUGACAACGCCUACGUAAUUAUACAGUAAACCAUUUUUUCUCUUUCCUCACAAUGCCCCUCCCACUUGCCACUCACUUUUCUGACAACGCAUGCAUUCAUAAAAAGGCACAUAAUUUUUUACCUUUCCUGCCACCCACUUUUCUGACAACCCAUGCAUAAAAAAUUACAUAAAAUUUUCAUUUUCUCCCUCACAAUGCCCCUCCCACAGACACUUUCUUUCUCCAACCUUCAGCUCGGAACUUGACAACAGUCUACCUACCCGUCGAAUAUUUGAAGAACUCAUGCACUGCCCUUGAUCUUUCACCUUCUCAUACCGUGAACACGUCCCAUAGCAAUCGUCACUAGUUCCUAUCAAUUCCCAGCUGCACGACGACGCUAGAACGACAUAGCACCUGUGACAAACAAUGGAUCCCACCAAGAAACAGGUACGAAUACUGCAAUCUCCUUCCCUCCUCCACUGCCCCCCCAUUUUCGUCGCUGCUGACCAACUGUUGCACUUCACAGGCAGGACACCUUGCUGGAGGACCUUCCUACCCUGCGACGGGAACGUCACGACAGUCGGCCGCGAAGUCAUAUGCUUGCUGGAGCCCAGAUGCCAACCGAGCCUUCAUUGCGGCGUGCGAGAAAGCCAUAGCCGAGGGGCACCGAAACAGGAAGUGUUUCACCAAACACGGCUGGGAAUGGGUUGACUCACUCUUCAACUCAGUGACCGGCCAUUAUUGGAGCCGACAACAGCUGCGAAAUCAUUGGGAUUCAAUGCGCCGAACAUACAAGCGUCUAUUAGAGCUUAUCAAUAGCAGCGGGAUCGAGUAUAACGAUGCUACCGGCCGAAUCGUUGCUUCUGAAGAAUGGUGGAACUGGAAGAUUAAUGUAAUGGAUUCCCAAUCUCUCAAUAACUCGUUUUCCUGCAAGUGCGAUUAGUGCGCCGACUUACUGCCUUUUUGGUGCAUUGCUGUGUCUUUACAUUUGCAUCAGACAUCUUAGUCUGAAAACUGAAUUGUAUUGUACCAAAAAACUUUAUUAUAGUUCUUACUUAGCCUUUAACUCAUAUUCAAUUUUCUCUAUUUUGAUGGCAAGUAUUGUGAGUGUAGAUGAAAACACAGCUGCAUUAGGUUAAUGCCCAGACUAGCAUUAAACGUCUGGUAUUCGUUAUAUGUCAUUUUCACUGAACUUGUUUUGUCGCACAAUAUACAGAAUGCUUUUUGCUGCUUCUAGGAAUACAAAUUCAUGUGUGCAACCUAUAAAUCGAAACAUUAAUUUUGGCGUUUGUUCCAGUUAUCAUAAAGUUUUUUCCUUCUGGGGUGAGCCUUCAUUUCAUGUUCAUGUCAGGUAAUAAGUUGAAUGGACGAGCAAGGAUUUCCUCCAACAAUGUUGACAGGUGACCGAUGUGGGUGAUUAACAAGAAAUGUGAUGAAGUACCUCUUUAAGGUCUAUGGUUAGAUUUAAAAUUUAAGUUGACGGUUGCAUCAAGAUAGAAGACACUUUACUCAAAUUUUGCAGAAUAGAUGUUGUUAUACUAUCAGUCGUUGAUUCUUUAUUAUAUGACACUUUAGUAUCUGAGACUUGCUUCAUCAUCAGUGAUGGUAUACCUAUAGUUUGGUGUAGAAUAGUAUUACUGCAACCUUUAGUGUCUUAUUAAUGCUCAGCUCAUUGCAAUGGAAGAUAGUGGGAAAAAAAUAUGAAUUUGCUAGAUUCCAACUGGAAAUUGAUAGUCUUUCCCUUUUUACUUGGUUUCUGGGUAAUGUCUCUUUAUUUAAAGUGCCCUCCUCAUGUCUAUUAACUGACUUGGUCGUGUCGUUUACUUUGUACACAAUAUUAAUUUUUCUCUAAUAGUUGUUUGUGUUUUUGAUACAUAGUGAAUUGCAUUUCCCUCUGGUACUCUCAUUGUAGGUCCCGAUUUAUGCAGGAGAACGUGGUCUAUAAAGACUUCAAGGAUAGGGACGUCAGCGAGAUAUACAUAAAAUACCGUCAGCUAUUUGGCGAUAGCUACGAUGCAGACAAGUACGCUAUCACUCCAACGAAGUUGUGUAGAAUGGGAUAUAGCCUAUACGAGGAUUGUGCGCUCGAAGACAAUAGGGAUGCAAUCCCGAUGGACGACAAGAGUAGUGGUUCAAGUGACGAGGCCGAAUAGACGGUGGUCCGUGCCCGCGAGAACGUUUCUAACACCACAGGCAGCAAUAAAAGGAAGUCUUCCAGCGGGCAGUGGAGGGGCAGGAAAAAAAAGAUGUCUGCUCAUAACCUGUCCUUCUCAGUAGAUCACACCACCAAUGCGGCGGAGGAAGUGGUGGCAAAGAUUCAUACGAUGAUGGCUUCAAAUGAAAGCGCUGGUGCGAACUGUGUCGAAGAGUUGCUAGCGACAGGCCGGCUCUAGCGGCGCACACCUCUUUAUUUUUACGCAUGCCAGCUUCUGGCCCAUAAACAGUAUCGUGACAUGCUUGUCGUCAUGAGAGACACAAACGAGAAAUUUGAGUGGAUCGAGUGGAUGUUCAGCGACUGGGGGAAGUAAUUGUGGUAGUCAUUAUGUGUUUUUUUUAUUUCUUUUACAUUUUCGAGACCUAUCUGUACGCAAGCUGUUGUAAUAUUCUCAUGCACUAUUAUCCACUUGUUUAUUAUGACUUCGAAUCUGGUACAUGCUGGUGAAUUUAUUCCCGCGUUUGGCACUCAAUUAAGG